UUUAAUAAGGUUAUGUGAUCAUUUUGUCUAUAUCAUACUUGUAAGGCCCCAUUUUUCCUGCCCCUAAGUGGGCCUAAGGGUUGGCCCAAUGUAUAUAAACCCUGCUAUGUUGCCCUAAUCCCACCUCACAUUCACUCUUUCAGAAACCAGCCGCCAUCCCUCACUACCUCUCACGAAAAGCUCUGCUAGGGUUUACCCUAAGGUCCCCCUCCUUCAAGCUCAAACUCAGUUCUACUCACCUGCUGACCACCCUAAGGACAGUUUGGUUUCCUGUGUGCGUGUUGGAGCGUUCCGCUAACUUGAUUUCCAGAUGGGCGAGGUUCUCGUGGUCAGCAAGGGAGCGGUGAUUCAGUAGCUUAGCCAUCUGGGCUGGAGGCAUUUUAUUUACGAUUUCUUUAGGGCUACGGCCCCUGUAUCAUCUUAUGAUUUCUUACUCUACACUCUUUGUUAGAUUGGUAUCUGUUUUAUGUCGGCAUCGUGGUGUACCAGGUUGUAGGGGUUGCGUUAAGGACCCCAAGACUACGCUGCUAUACUUUAU